rnacentral:rRNA from 1 species
GUGGGGAAUAUUGGACAAUGGGCGAAAGCCUGAUCCAGCCAUGCCGCGUGUGUGAAGAAGGUCUUCGGAUUGUAAAGCACUUUAAGUUGGGAGGAAGGGCAGUAAGCUAAUACCUUGCUGUUUUGACGUUACCGACAGAAUAAGCACCGGCUAACUUCGUGCCAGCAGCCGCGGUAAUACGAAGGGUGCAAGCGUUAAUCGGAAUUACUGGGCGUAAAGCGCGCGUAGGUGGUUCAGCAAGUUGGAGGUGAAAUCCCCGGGCUCAACCUGGGAACUGCCUCCAAAACUGCAUGACUAGAGUACGGUAGAGGGUAGUGGAAUUUCCUGUGUAGCGGUGAAAUGCGUAGAUAUAGGAAGGAACACCAGUGGCGAAGGCGACUACCUGGACUGAUACUGACACUGAGGUGCGAAAGCGUGGGGAGCAAACAGGAUUAGAAACCCUAGUAGUCC